AUUGAACGCUGGCGGCAUGCUUUACACAUGCAAGUCGAACGGCAGCGCGGGCUUCGGCCUGGCGGCGAGUGGCGAACGGGUGAGUAAUGCAUCGGAACGUGCCCAGUAGUGGGGGAUAGCCCGGCGAAAGCCGGAUUAAUACCGCAUACGACCUGAGGGUGAAAGCGGGGGACCGAAAGGCCUCGCGCUAUUGGAGCGGCCGAUGUCGGAUUAGCUAGUUGGUGGGGUAAAGGCUUACCAAGGCGACGAUCCGUAGCUGGUCUGAGAGGACGACCAGCCACACUGGAACUGAGACGCGGCCCAGACUCCUACGGGAGGCAGCAGUGGGGAAUUUUGGACAAUGGGGGCAACCCUUAUCCAGCCAUGCCGCGUGCGAGAAGAAGGCCUUCGGGUUGUAAACCGCUUUUGUUCGGGAAGAAAUCCUCUGGGCUAAUACCCCGGGGGGAUGACGGUACCGGAAGAAUAAGCACCGGCUAACUACGUG
rnacentral:rRNA from 1 species